GCCUCGGGCAGGCCGUUCCCGCGCCGGCGACGGCGGGCCCGGCCGCAGGUACCAACGGCACCUGUCAGAGGGCAGCGCGGGCGCACCCUGCAAGGGGCCUGCCUCGUCCAGAGAGGCAGCGAGAAACAGCAGCGAUGAACGAAACAAAAUCUUCCUCCACUACGGCUACACAGAGCUCGCGUCGAGGAAGCGGGAACACACAGGCCCCGUUAACACAGAAAUCUGCCUCCUGGGCCAUGCCGCUUCUAAGGCCUGUUUCUUCUCAUGAGCCCCAGCACAAGACAGAUGGGCCAGUUCUCACAGUGGAUAACUUCCCCUGCCUGAGCAAGAGAUGGGAUAGUAUCUGGGAUCUGUCCAUCACCAGACUCUGAGCUUAAUAAGGCAGCUGAAUGAAGGGAGGUAACGGACCCCUGAGAGGGGCACUGAAGUCUGCAGUGGGGGGGG
rnacentral:sRNA from 1 species